GUCCACGAUAGCUCAAGUGGUUAGAGCAGCGGCGUACUGAGCCGAAGGUCGUGGGUUCGAAUCCCGCUCGUGACA
rnacentral:tRNA from 1 species